rnacentral:rRNA from 7 species
GAUUGAACGCUGGCGGCAGGCCUAACACAUGCAAGUCGAACGGUAACAGGAAGCAGCUUGCUGCUUYGCUGACGAGUGGCGGACGGGUGAGUAAUGUCUGGGAAACUGCCUGAUGGAGGGGGAUAACUACUGGAAACGGUGGCUAAUACCGCAUAACGUCGCAAGACCAAAGAGGGGGACCUUCGGGCCUCUUGCCAUCAGAUGUGCCCAGAUGGGAUUAGCUUGUUGGUGAGGUAACGGCUCACCAAGGCGACGAUCCCUAGCUGGUCUGAGAGGAUGACCAGCCACACUGGAACUGAGACACGGUCCAGACUCCUACGGGAGGCAGCAGUGGGGAAUAUUGCACAAUGGGCGCAAGCCUGAUGCAGCCAUGCCGCGUGUAUGAAGAAGGCCUUCGGGUUGUAAAGUACUUUCAGCGGGGAGGAAGGUGUUGUGGUUAAUAACCRCAGCAAUUGACGUUACCCGCAGAAGAAGCACCGGCUAACUCCG